rfam:Bombyx mori DNA, contig: Bm_scaf1_contig67, strain: p50T/Dazao, build 2, whole genome shotgun sequence.
UUAACUCAAAUUUGUAUGGAGUUCAAACAGCUUCCCUUCGUUUUCCGCUAGGGGCGCUGUUCCAACUCUAUACAAAUUUGAGUUA